rnacentral:rRNA from 1 species
GAUGAACGCUGGCGGCGUGCCUAAUACAUGCAAGUCGAGCGAACAGACGAGGAGCUUGCUCCUUCGACGUUAGCGGCGGACGGGUGAGUAACACGUAGGUAACCUACCUAUAAGACUGGGAUAACUUCGGGAAACCGGAGCUAACACCGGAUAAUAUUUCGAACCGCAUGGUUCGAUAGUGAAAGAUGGCUUUGCUAUCACUUAUAGAUGGACCUGCGCCGUAUUAGCUAGUUGGUAAGGUAACGGCUUACCAAGGCAACGAUACGUAGCCGACCUGAGAGGGUGAUCGCCCACACUGGAACUGAGACACGGUCCAGACUCCUACGGGAGGCAGCAGUAGGGAAUCUUCCGCAAUGGGCGAAAGCCUGACGGAGCAACGCCGCGUGAGUGAUGAAGGUCUUCGGAUCGUAAAACUCUGUUAUUAGGGAAGAACAAACGUGUAAGUAACUGUGCACGUCUUGACGGUACCUAAUCAGAAAGCCACGGCUAACUACGUG